rnacentral:rRNA from 1 species
UACGUAGGGUGCAAGCGUUGUCCGGAAUUAUUGGGCGUAAAGAGCUCGUAGGCGGUUUGUCACGUCGGAUGUGAAAACUCGGGGCUCAACUCCGAGCCUGCAUACGAUACGGGCAGACUUGAGUUCGGCAGGGGAGACUGGAAUUCCUGGUGUAGCGGUGAAAUGCGCAGAUAUCAGGAGGAACACCGGUGGCGAAGGCGGGUCUCUGGGCCGAUACUGACGCUGAGGAGCGAAAGCGUGGGGAGCAAACAGG